rnacentral:rRNA from 1 species
AGGAAGUAAAAGUCGUAACAAGGUCUCCGUUGGUGAACCAGCGGAGGGAUCAUUACUGAGUUUACGCUCUAUAACCCUUUGUGAACAUACCUAUAACUGUUGCUUCGGCGGGUAGGGUCUCCGUGACCCUCCCGGCCUCCCGCCCCCGGGCGGGUCGGCGCCCGCCGGAGGAUAACCAAACUCUGAUUUAACGACGUUUCUUCUGAGUGGUACAAGCAAAUAAUCAAAACUUUUAACAACGGAUCUCUUGGUUCUGGCAUCGAUGAAGAACGCAGCGAAAUGCGAUAAGUAAUGUGAAUUGCAGAAUUCAGUGAAUCAUCGAAUCUUUGAACGCACAUUGCGCCCGCCAGCAUUCUGGCGGGCAUGCCUGUUCGAGCGUCAUUUCAACCCUCAAGCUCUGCUUGGUGUUGGGGCCCUACAGCUGAUGUAGGCCCUCAAAGGUAGUGGCGGACCCUCCCGGAGCCUCCUUUGCGUAGUAACUUUACGUCUCGCACUGGGAUCCGGAGGGACUCUUGCCGUAAAACCCCCAAUUUUCCAAAGGUUGACCUCGGAUCAGGUAGGAAUACCCGCUGAACUUAAGCAUAUCAAUAA